GAUGAAGAACGUAGCGAAAUGCGAUACGUAAUGUGAAUUGCAGAAUUCAGUGAAUCAUCGAGUCUUUGAACGCACAUUACGCCCCCUGGUAUUCCGGGGGGCAUGCCUGUCCGAGCGUCAUUGCUGCCCUCAAGCACGGCUUGUGUGUUGGGCCUCCGUCCUCCUCCCGGGGGACGGGCCCGAAAGGCAGCGGCGGCACCGCGUCCGGUCCUCGAGCGUAUGGGGCUUCGUCACCCGCUCUUGUAGGCCCGGCCGGCGCUUGCCGACACAUCAAUCUUUUUUCCAGGUUGACCUCGGAUCAGGUAGGGAUACCUGCUGAACUUAAGCAUAUCAAUAAGCGGAGGA
rnacentral:misc_RNA from 1 species